AAAUUGAAGAGUUUGAUCAUGGCUCAGAUUGAACGCUGGCGGCAGGCCUAACACAUGCAAGUCGAGCGGUAGCACAGAGAGCUUGCUCUCGGGUGACGAGCGGCGGACGGGUGAGUAAUGUCUGGGAAACUGCCUGAUGGAGGGGGAUAACUACUGGAAACGGUAGCUAAUACCGCAUAACGUCGCAAGACCAAAGUGGGGGACCUUCGGGCCUCAUGCCAUCAGAUGUGCCCAGAUGGGAUUAGCUAGUAGGUGGGGUAAUGGCUCACCUAGGCGACGAUCCCUAGCUGGUCUGAGAGGAUGACCAGCCACACUGGAACUGAGACACGGUCCAGACUCCUACGGGAGGCAGCAGUGGGGAAUAUUGCACAAUGGGCGCAAGCCUGAUGCAGCCAUGCCGCGUGUGUGAAGAAGGCCUUCGGGUUGUAAAGCACUUUCAGCGGGGAGGAAGGCGGUGAGGUUAAUAACCUCAUCGAUUGACGUUACCCGCAGAAGAAGCACCGGCUAACUCCGUGCCAGCAGCCGCGGUAAUACGGAGGGUGCAAGCGUUAAUCGGAAUUACUGGGCGUAAAGCGCACGCAGGCGGUCUGUCAAGUCGGAUGUGAAAUCCCCGGGCUCAACCUGGGAACUGCAUUCGAAACUGGCAGGCUAGAGUCUUGUAGAGGGGGGUAGAAUUCCAGGUGUAGCGGUGAAAUGCGUAGAGAUCUGGAGGAAUACCGGUGGCGAAGGCGGCCCCCUGGACAAAGACUGACGCUCAGGUGCGAAAGCGUGGGGAGCAAACAGGAUUAGAUACCCUGGUAGUCCACGCCGUAAACGAUGUCGAUUUGGAGGUUGUGCCCUUGAGGCGUGGCUUCCGGAGCUAACGCGUUAAAUCGACCGCCUGGGGAGUACGGCCGCAAGGUUAAAACUCAAAUGAAUUGACGGGGGCCCGCACAAGCGGUGGAGCAUGUGGUUUAAUUCGAUGCAACGCGAAGAACCUUACCUGGUCUUGACAUCCACAGAACUUUCCAGAGAUGGAUUGGUGCCUUCGGGAACUGUGAGACAGGUGCUGCAUGGCUGUCGUCAGCUCGUGUUGUGAAAUGUUGGGUUAAGUCCCGCAACGAGCGCAACCCUUAUCCUUUGUUGCCAGCGGUCCGGCCGGGAACUCAAAGGAGACUGCCAGUGAUAAACUGGAGGAAGGUGGGGAUGACGUCAAGUCAUCAUGGCCCCUACGACCGGGGCUACACGUGCUACAAUGGCAUAUACAAAGAGAAGCGACCUCGCGAGAGCAAGCGGACCUCAUAAAGUAUGUCGUAGUCCGGAUUGGAGUCUGCAACUCGACUCCAUGAAGUCGGAAUCGCUAGUAAUCGUAGAUCAGAAUGCUACGGUGAAUACGUUCCCGGGCCUUGUACACACCGCCCGUCACACCAUGGGAGUGGGUUGCAAAAGAAGUAGGUAGCUUAACCUUCGGGAGGGCGCUUACCACUUUGUGAUUCAUGACUGGGGUGAAGUCGUAACAAGGUAACCGUAGGGGAACCUGCGGUUGGAUCACCUCCUUACCUUAAAGAA
rnacentral:rRNA from 1 species